rnacentral:rRNA from 1 species
UACGUAGGGUGCGAGCGUUAAUCGGAAUACUGGGCGUAAAGCGUGCGCAGGCGGUGAUGUAAGACCGAUGUGAAAUCCCCGGGCUUAACCUGGGAACUGCAUUGGUGACUGCAUCGCUCGAGUAUGGCAGAGGGGGGUAGAAUCCACGUGUAGCAGUGAAUGCGUAGAGAUGUGGAGGAAUACCGAUGGCGAAGGCCAGGCCCCCUGGGUCAAUACUGACGCUCAUGCACGAAAGCGUGGGGAGCAAACAGG